rnacentral:rRNA from 1 species
AUUGAACGCUGGCGGCAUGCCUUACACAUGCAAGUCGAACGGUAACAGGUCUUCGGAUGCUGACGAGUGGCGAACGGGUGAGUAAUACAUCGGAACGUGCCUAGUAGUGGGGGAUAACUACUCGAAAGAGUGGCUAAUACCGCAUGCGAUCUACGGAUGAAAGCAGGGGAUCGCAAGACCUUGUGCUACUAGCGCGGCCCGGGGCAGAUUAGGUUGUUGGUGGGAGAAAAGCUUACCAAGCCGACGAUCCGUAGCUGGUCUGAGAGGACGAACAGCAACACUGGGACUGAGACACGGCCCAGACUCCUACGGGAGGCAGCAGUGGGGAAUUUUGGACAAUGGGCGCAAGCCUGAUCCAGCAAUGCCGCGUGCAGGAUGAAGGCCUUCGGGUUGUAAACUGCUUUUGUACGGAACGAAAAGCCCUGGGUUAAUACCCUGGGGUCAUGACGGUACCGUAAGAAUAAGCACCGGCUAACUACGUGCCAGCCGCCGCCGUAA